GGUCCCAUAGUCUACUGGUUACGACAUUGGACUUUGAAUCCAAGAGCCGAGUUCGAAUCCCGGUGCAACCU
rfam:Selaginella moellendorffii unplaced genomic scaffold SELMOscaffold_7, whole genome shotgun sequence.